UGUUUGUUGGUGAAUAAGUAACUUUUUUUUUUCCCUCCAGAAGAGUAAUGGCUCUAUGAGGUACAUCUAUCCUCUCAAACAACAUUUCCCCACUUUGUUUACAGGUUCUGUCCUCUAAUCAUCCACAUUAGUCCAGUUCCAGUCUAUUUUGGCAUGAACCUUCUAAAUUUCCCCAAAACAAGAACUGUGCACACUUCUGAGGAUGCUGGAAUCCAGGGCACCCUCCGGAACAGCAUUGGAUCCAAGGGACAGAUUUGGCUGCCUCUGCCUCAUACAGCAUCUGCCAGCAGGCAGUGUGAGGUGUUGGUAGGGGUAGGUCCAACACAUUUUACAUCUUCUUUGGACUAAACCUAACAUUAGGUAUGUCUACAGUCAUCUGUCUGUCACAGCUGAAGUGAGUUUAUCAAUUGUCCCAAUUUACUGUGCUUUGCCUCAUAUGGAAGUUGGAUGUUUGACCAAAAAAAAAUAAAGGAUUCUUUUACAUCAGACACACCAGAAGACUCCAGUGGCACAACAAAUGCCCUCCAGCUACAGAUACAAACUUUGGAUUUGGUACCAGCUAUCAUACUUUUUGAAAUCCUUGACUCCCCGCUGCUGUCAAGUCAUUCUGUAGUCAUGACUGGAUACCAAGAGGAGCUGUGUGGCCCCAAGGUGCACUUGGCACUUGGAUUUACAGUGUCUGAGAUUGGUCACACUGAAGUCCAAGGGCUAUUCCUGAUCACACUGGUUUGAAGGGCAGCAACAGCAAGGAAAGAAACAAAAUGCACUGCUGGGAAAGGCAAAUGCAGCAUUAAAAAUGUGAUCUGUGUGUCUGUCUGUGUUUGUAUGUGUGUGUGAGA